rnacentral:tRNA from 2 species
GGGCUUGUAGCUCAGUUGGGAGAGCGCUGCGUUCGCAAUGCAGAGGUCAAGAGUUCGAUCCUCUCCAAGUCCA